UACGUAGGUGGCGAGCGUUGUCCGGAUUUACUGGGCGUAAAGAGCGCGCAGGCGGUCGUGCAAGUCGGAUGUGAAAGCCCCCGGCUCAACUGGGGAGGGUCAUUCGAUACUGCUCGACUCGAAGGCGGGAGAGGGAAGCGGAAUUCCCGGUGUAGUGGUGAAAUGCGUAGAUAUCGGGAGGAACACCAGUGGCGAAGGCGGCUUCCUGGCCCGUUCUUGACGCUGAGGCGCGAAAGCUAGGGGAGCAAACGCG
rnacentral:rRNA from 1 species